CCUACGGGAGUCAGCAGUGGGGAAUAUUGCACAAUGGGCGAAAGCCUGAUGCAGCAACGCCGCGUGCGGGAUGACGGCCUUCGGGUUGUAAACCGCUUUCAGUAGGGACGCGGUACCUACAGAAGAAGCACCGGCCAACUACGUGCCAGCAGCCGCGGUGAUACGUAGGGUGCGAGCGUUGUCCGGAAUUAUUGGGCGUAAAGGGAUUGUAGGCGGUCCGUCGCGUCGAAAGUGAAAACUCAGGGCUCAACCCUGAGCCUGCUUUCGAUACGGGCGGACUAGAGGUAUGCAGGGGAGAACGGAAUUCCUGGUGGAGCGGUGGAAUGCGCAGAUAUCAGGAGGAACACCGGUGGCGAAGGCGGUUCUCUGGGCAUUCCUGACGCUGAGAAUCGAAAGCGUGGGGAGCAAACAGGCUUAGAUACCCUUGUAGUC
rnacentral:rRNA from 1 species